rnacentral:rRNA from 1 species
GUGAGGAAUAUUGGUCAAUGGGCGAGAGCCUGAACCAGCCAAGUCGCGUGAAGGAUGAAGGUUUUAUGAAUUGUAAACUUCUUUUGCAGGGGAAUAAAGUACGGUACGUGUACCGUUUUGUAUGUACUCUGCGAAUAAGGAUCGGCUAACUCCGUGCCAGCAGCCGCGGUAAUACGGAGGAUCCGAGCGUUAUCCGGAUUUAUUGGGUUUAAAGGGUGCGUAGGUGGAUUGAUAAGUCAGCGGUGAAAGUUUGCAGCUUAACUGUAAAAUUGCCGUUGAAACUGUCGGUCUUGAGUGCAAAUGAGGUAGGCGGAAUGUGUUGUGUAGCGGUGAAAUGCUUAGAUAUAACACAGAACUCCGAUUGCGAAGGCAGCUUACUGGGAUGCAACUGACACUGAUGCACGAAAGCGUGGGUAUCAAACAGGAUUAGAUACCCUUGUAGUCC